rfam:Candidatus Kaiserbacteria bacterium RIFCSPHIGHO2_02_FTLL_54_11b rifcsphigho2_02_scaffold_6769, whole genome shotgun sequence.
GGAGGGGUGGCAGAGUUGGUCUAUCGCACUUGUCUUGAAAACAAGAGUGUCGCAAGGCACCGUGGGUUCGAAUCCCACCCCCUCCG